CUUAGUGGCGGACGGGUGAGUAACGCGUGGGCAAUCUGCCCGUAAGAGGGGGAUAACACCUAGAAAUGGGUGCUAAUACCGCAUAACAUCAUAGGGUUGCAUGACCUUGUGAUCAAAGGAGAAAUCCGCUUACGGAUGAGCCCGCGUCUGAUUAGCUAGUUGGUGGGGUAACGGCCUACCAAGGCGACGAUCAGUAGCCGGCCUGAGAGGGUGAUCGGCCACACUGGAACUGAGACACGGUCCAGACUCCUACGGGAGGCAGCAGUGGGGAAUCUUCCGCAAUGGGCGAAAGCCUGACGGAGCAACGCCGCGUGAGUGAUGAAGGCCUUCGGGUUGUAAAACUCUGUCUUCAGGGAAGAAAAAAAUGACGGUACCUGAGGAGGAAGCCACGGCUAACUACGCGCCAGCAGCCGCGGUAAUACGUAGGUGGCAAGCGUUGUCCGGAAUUACUGGGCGUAAAGAGCGCGUAGGCGGGGAUUUAAGUCAGGAGUGAAAACUACCGGCUCAACCGGUAGCCUGCUCUUGAAACUG
rnacentral:rRNA from 1 species